rnacentral:rRNA from 1 species
UACGUAGGGGGCUAGCGUUGUCCGGAAUCAUUGGGCGUAAAGCGCGUGUAGGCGGUUCGGUAAGUCCGCUGUGAAAGUCGAGGGCUCAACCCUCGAAUGCCGGUGGAUACUGUCGGGCUUGAGUACGGGAGAGGCGAGUGGAAUUCCUGGUGUAGCGGUGAAAUGCGCAGAUAUCAGGAGGAACACCGAUUGCGAAGGCAGCUCGCUGGAACGUUACUGACGCUGAUGCGCGACAGCGUGGGGAGCAAACAGG